UACGAAGGGUGCAAGCGUUAAUCGGAAUUACUGGGCGUAAAGCGUGCGUAGGCGGUUUGUUAAGUCUGUUGUGAAAUCCCCGGGCUCAACCUGGGAAUGGCAAUGGAUACUGGCAAGCUAGAGUGUGAUAGAGGAUGGUGGAAUUCCCGGUGUAGCGGUGAAAUGCGUAGAGAUCGGGAGGAACAUCAGUGGCGGAAGGCGGCCAUCUG
rnacentral:rRNA from 1 species